GACAGAGGGUGCAAACGUUGUUCGGAAUUACUGGGCGUAAAGCGCGUGUAGGCGGUGAGGUUAGUCGGAUGUGAAAGCCCCGGGCUCAACCUGGGAAGUGCACUCGAUACUGCCUCGCUAGAGUCCCGGAGAGGAUGGUGGAACUCUCGGUGUAGAGGUGAAAUUCGUAGAGAUCGACGAAGAACACCUGUGGCGAAGGCGGCCAUCUGGACGGUGACUGACGCUGAGACGCGAAAGCGUGGGUAGCAAACAGG
rnacentral:rRNA from 1 species